CCUACGGGAGGCAGCAGUGAGGAAUAUUGGUCAAUGGACGAGAGUCUGAACCAGCCAAGUAGCGUGAAGGAUGACUGCCCUAUGGGUUGUAAACUUCUUUUAUAUGGGAAUAAAAUGUUCCACGUGUGGGAUUUUGUAUGUACCAUAUGAAUAAGGAUCGGCUAACUCCGUGCCAGCAGCCGCGGUAAUACGGAGGAUCCGAGCGUUAUCCGGAUUUAUUGGGUUUAAAGGGAGCGUAGGUGGAUUGUUAAGUCAGUUGUGAAAGUUUGCGGCUCAACCGUAAAAUUGCAGUUGAAACUGGCAGUCGUGAGUACAGUAGAGGUGGGCGGAAUUCGUGGUGUAGCGGUGAAAUGUUUAGAUAUCACGAAGAACUCCGAUUGCGAAGGCAGCUCACUGGACUGCAACUGACACUGAGGCUCGAAAGUGUGGGUAUCAAACAGGAUUAGAUACCCCUGUAGUC
rnacentral:rRNA from 1 species